UGAGGCCCGGCGGCCGUGCUUGCCAGGAAGGCCCGGGGCUUGAGGCCCUGGAAGGCCUGGCCCGUUCAGGAGUCCCGGCUGUUUGGGGGAAUGUCCCACGCCCUGUGGGGAUUUGAGCCGUGUCUCCCGGCCGACUUGGGUGUCCCGGUUGGUGUGUGUGGGGACUGGGAGGGGCUUGGUGCGGGCGGGAACCGCCGGGUAGCGACCACGUCUCGUCAGGGGGUUCGUGCCUGCUGCUGGGCACGGGAACGGCUCCGGGGGGGUCUUACGGGCGCUGAGGGGAUUCCGCAUCAUGGAGAGGUCAAGGGGAGUUGGUGGCCGUCACCCUUCGUCAGGGCAGGGUGGCAUCAGUGCUCCCGUGCUGGGGUUCCUGGAGAGCCGGCUGGCACGGACAGACUCUUGUGAGGGCAAGUGGCUGAUCGUGCGUCGGAUGGGUCCAGCAAAGGAGAGAAAGCUUCGGUGCGCGCGCGCUCGCCAGGGAAAGGGUGACAGCGGGUGGGACCGAGAGGGAGAGAGAGAGAGGGAGAGAACAAAGGAAGAGAGAGGGUUUCCGCAGGGGCGGUGAGUCCUGGCGGAAGUCCUGAGGCAGAGGAGGUGCCAGGGGUUUGGGUUUCCCGGUCGUGUCGGGGGUGUGGCGCAGGUUGCCCCAGUGGGCCUGAAUGUGCCUCCGUGGGGCACCUUGUUGCCGUGUUGGGGGGCGGGGAGCCGGCCUUGGGGAUCCAUCUUUCGGGCCCUGGGACGUGGGAGAAGAAUGCCGGGGCCUCUCUCUGUGCCCCUGGCACGCCUCUGUGCAGGCCGGGCCUGCACCACCCCCCGCGCCCGUCCCCCAGGCAGGGUCCGUGUGGCUGCAGACACCCAGAGAGAGGGGAGGCUGGGGAGGCUGGGGAGCCGUGGCAGCCCGAUGCAGUGCGGGUCUCCAGGUGGAGGGGCCCUGGUCCCCUGGCGCCAGCGUGGCCCUUCCUCCUUGUGGAAACCCUUGUGGUGUGUGUGCUCUCUCGCCCUGACCCAGGAGAGCAGCAUGGCGGACCCCUGAUCUUGUGGCGUGCCACCGCGCGAGGCCGAGGAGCUCCCGCAGCCCAGUGGGCGUGGCGUCCUUGUCGCGGCUCUGUGGAGACCUGGCGAUGGAGAGCAGCAUGGCGGACCCCUGAUCUUGUGGCGUGCCACCGCGCGAGGCCGAGGAGCUCCCGCAGCCCAGUGGGCGUGGCGUCCUUGUCGCGGCUCUGUGGAGACCUGGCGAUGGAGAGCAGCAUGGCGGACCCCUGAUCUUGUGGCGUGCCACCAAGUGAGGCCGAGGAGCUCCCGCAGACCAGUGGGCGUGCCGUCUUUUAGAGGGAUUUUUGGAGACCUGUCUUUGGUAUGUGGCUCUUAAUUUUUUGGAUAAAUCUCCUUGGGACACUCAUCUAAUUUCCCUGAGCAAUACCCUCUUCCCCUGUCUUUGACCAUCC
ensembl:lncRNA